rnacentral:rRNA from 1 species
CCUACGGGGGGCUGCAGUGGGGAAUAUUGCCCAAUGGGGGGAACCCUGAUGCAGCAACGCCGCGUGGGUGAAGAAGUAUCUCGGUAUGUAAAGCUCUAUCAUCAGGGAAGAAAAUGACGGUACCUAACUAAUAAGCACCGGCUAAAUACGUGCCAGCAGCCGCGGUAAUACGUAUGGUGCAAGCGUUAUCCGGAUUUACUGGGUGUAAAGGGAGCGCAGGCGGGGCGGCAAGUCAGAUGUGAAAGCCCGGGGCUCAACCCCGGGACUGCAUUUGAAACUGCCGGGCUAGAGUGUGGGAGAGGUAAGUGGAAUUCCUAGUGUAGGGGUGAAAUGCGUAGAGAUUAGGAGGAAUACUAGUGGCGAAGGCGGCUUGCUGGACGAUCACUGACGCUGAGGCUCGAAAGCGUGGGGAGCAAACAGGAUUAGAUACCCGUGUAGUC